GAUGAAGAACGUAGCGAAAUGCGAUAAGUAGUGUGAAUUGCAGAAUUCAGUGAAUCAUCGAAUCUUUGAACGCACAUUGCGCCCCUUGGUAUCCCGAGGGGCAUGCCUGUUCGAGCGUCGUUUCACCACUCAAGCCUGGCUUGGUGUUGGGCGACGUCCCCUUUGGGGACGCGCCUCGAAACGCUCGGCGGCGUGGCACCGGCUUUAAGCGUAGCAGAAUCUUUCGCUUUGGAAGUCGGGGCCCCGUCUGCCGGAAGACCUACUCGCAAGGUUGACCUCGGAUCAGGCAGGGAUACCCGCUGAACUUAAGCAUAUCAAUAAGCGGAGGA
rnacentral:misc_RNA from 1 species